rnacentral:rRNA from 2 species
GAUAGUACCUUACUACUUGGAUAACCGUGGUAAUUCUAGAGCUAAUACAUGCUAAAAACCCCGACUUCGGAAGGGGUGUAUUUAUUAGAUAAAAAACCAACGCCCUUCGGGGCUUCUUGGUGAUUCAUGAUAACUUUACGGAUCGCAUGGCCUUGCGCCGGCGACGGUUCAUUCAAAUUUCUGCCCUAUCAACUUUCGAUGGUAAGGUAUUGGCUUACCAUGGUUUCAACGGGUAACGGGGAAUUAGGGUUCGAUUCCGGAGAGGGAGCCUGAGAAACGGCUACCACAUCCAAGGAAGGCAGCAGGCGCGCAAAUUACCCAAUCCCGACACGGGGAGGUAGUGACAAUAAAUACUGAUACAGGGCUCUUUUGGGUCUUGUAAUUGGAAUGAGUACAAUUUAAACCUCUUAACGAGGAACAAUUGGAGGGCAAGUCUGGUGCCAGCAGCCGCGGUAAUUCCAGCUCCAAUAGCGUAUAUUAAAGUUGUUGCAGUUAAAAAGCUCGUAGUUGAAACUUGGGUCUGGCUGGCAGGUCCGCCUCACCGCGUGUACUUGUCCGGCCGGGCCUUCCUUCUGGAGAACCUCAUGCCCUUCACUGGGCGUGUUGGGGACCAGGACUUUUACUUUGAAAAAAUUAGAGUGUUCAAAGCAGGCCUUUGCUCGAAUACGUUAGCAUGGAAUAAUAGAAUAGGACGUGCGGUCCUAUUUUGUUGGUUUCUAGGACCGCCGUAAUGAUUAAUAGGGACAGUCGGGGGCAUCAGUAUUCAAUUGUCAGAGGUGAAAUUCUUGGAUUUAUUGAAGACUAACUACUGCGAAAGCAUUUGCCAAGGAUGUUUUCAUUAAUCAGUGAACGAAAGUUAGGGGAUCGAAGACGAUCAGAUACCGUCGUAGUCUUAACCGUAAACUAUGCCGACUAGGGAUCGGGCGAUGUUCUUUUUCUGACUCGCUC